rnacentral:lncRNA from 1 species
UCGGCUAUGGACGAGCUAAAAUAGAUCAUCCAAAGCUGAGGUUUUGGAGACCGUGGAGCAUGCAUUGUUAACCUUAGAUGAUUUGGAAUUAGUCGGUUAUGGAUAAUCUAAAAUAGAUCAUCUAAGGCUGAGGUGAAAUCGUCGGCAAGGGCUGAGGACAGAUAGCAGCCACAGCCAACUCCAUAGAGGAUACCCAACAACCUUCGUGACUAUUAUAUACAUAUGACCUGACAAGCGUCCAUCUCCC